rnacentral:rRNA from 1 species
GACGAACGCUGGCGGCGUGCCUAAUACAUGCAAGUCGAGCGAAGUUUUUCUGGUGCUUGCACUAGAAAAACUUAGCGGCGAACGGGUGAGUAACACGUAAAGAACCUGCCUCAUAGACUGGGACAACUAUUGGAAACGAUAGCUAAUACCGGAUAACAGUAUUUCUCGCAUGAGAGAUAUUUAAAAGUUGGUUAUGCUAACACUAUGAGAUGGCUUUGCGGUGCAUUAGCUAGUUGGUGGGGUAAAGGCCUCCAAGGCGACGAUGCAUAGCCGACCUGAGAGGGUGAUCGGCCACACUGGGACUGAGACACGGCCCAGACUCCUACGGGAGGCAGCAGUAGGGAAUCUUCCGCAAUGGGCGAAAGCCUGACGGAGCAACGCCGCGUGAGUGAAGAAGGAUUUCGGUUCGUAAAGCUCUGUUGUUAGGGAAGAAUGGAUAUGUAGUAACUAUACAUGUAAGAGACG